GCGGCCAUACCACAUUGAAAACAUCGGUUCUCGUCCGAUCACCGAAGUUAAGCAAUGUCGGUUAGUACUUGGGGGGGGGGGGGUGACCACCUGGGAACACCGGGUGCUAUAGGCU